AUUUGAGACGGAGCACUGACAAGCUCUCCAGAGCACAUGGUCUUCAGCGGGUGCAGGCAAAUCUCAAACUGCUGAUGUCCAUUCUCCUGAUGUUACCUCCAGGCUCAAAUGAGGCAUGGGCUGGCUGUCCCAAGCUUCUAAUCUUCAUCUUGGCUCUGCCCCAGCUGUCUCAACAGAGAAUUCAUUGGUCAUCUAAUCAAACGAGAGAGUAGUCCCCACCCCCUCAGCCUCUCUCCUAACUAGUAUGGAUCUUAGGAGAGCUAUUUUUGCCAGCGAAGGUUGCUGGCAUCAUCUCUGCUGCGAUUGUGAUGAUCGCCAUUCUUGCCCUGGGGAAGCUUCUGGAACCCUUGCAGAAGUCGGUCUUGGCAGCUGUCGUAAUUGCCAACCUGAAAGGGAUGUUUAUGCAGGUGUGUGACAUUCCUCGUCUGUGGAGACAAAAUAAGAUUGAUGCUGUUAUCUGGGUGUUUACGUGUAUAGUGUCCAUCAUUCUGGGGCUGGAUCUCGGUUUACUAGCUGGCCUUAUAUUUGGACUAUUGACUGUGGUCCUGAGAGUUCAGUU
rnacentral:sRNA from 1 species